CUGCAGCUCGAGUGGUGAUCAUUAUUAUUGGGCCUAAAACGUCCGUAGCCGGUUUAGUAAAUGCCUGGGUAAAUCGUGUAGCUUAACUAUACGACUUCCGGGUAGACUGCUAAACUUGAGACCGGGAGAGGCUAGAGGUACUCCUGGGGUAGAGGUGAAAUUCUGUAAUCCUAGGGGGACCACCAGUGGCGAAGGCGUCUAGCUAGAACGGGUCUGACGGUGAGGGACGAAGCCCUGGGGCACAAACCGGAUUAGAUACCCCAGUAGUCC
rnacentral:rRNA from 1 species